rnacentral:rRNA from 1 species
GAUGAACGCUGGCGGCGUGCCUAAUACAUGCAAGUCGAGCGAAAGGACGAGAAGCUUGCUUCUCUGAUGUUAGCGGCGGACGGGUGAGUAACACGUGGAUAACCCACCUAUAAGACUGGGAUAACUUCGGGAAACCGGAGAUUAUACCGGAUGAUAUUUUGAACCGCAUGGGUCAAAAGUGAAAGACGGUCUUGCUGUCACGUAUAGAGGGAUCCGCGCUGCAUUAGCUAGUUGGUAAGGUAACGGCUUACGAAGGCGACGAUGCAUAGCCGACCGGAGAGAGUGGUCGGCCACCCUGGAGCGUGGACGCCCUCCUGGCGCCUGCGGGACGGCGCAGUAUGCUACCUUCCGCAGCAGGCGGAAGCCUUACGCAAUGGGGCGGCGUGAGUGAUGAAGGUCUUCGGAUCGUGAUACCCUGUUAUGAGGUAAGAACAUAUGUGGAAGUUGCUGAGCACAUCUUGACGGUACCGAAUCAGAAAGCCCCGGCUAACUACGUG